CUUCGCUAUGUUUCCGGUUUCGGAUUUUAACAGUAAAACAGGGAAGCAUGUGAUGUUUACUUUUGUUUAACUACCUUUUGUUCAACGAUGAAGGCAUCUGAGAAUUGUAAUACUGUUUACUGAUUUGAUGAUAUUCCUUGUUCCUUUGAUGGUUCAUUCCACUAUACAGCUGGUUCAUAUACCAUACAACAGCCAGGAAAUUGGCCUGUUUACUUUAAGAUCCCAAGAAAAUGUAACAUAUUUUGGAUGUGCUUUGAGGAAUCAGGAAUGCAAGUGUUUCCUCUUGUUUACGAAGCAACCCAGUUGGUUAAGGGGCAAACAACUUGUGAGCAUGGUACAUCACUACCUGUAUUGGUAUUCCAUUUUGACAAUGUUACUAGCUAGAAUAGAAAUAACAUCUUGCUGUGGUACAGUCUGUGGAGACUUUUACUAGGAUAUCACAGAUUGAUUGAAUAUUCAACAAUGAUCACAGACCAUGUAAAGUUUGAAUCUGACUUGCACUUUGAAUUUAGAAGAAUCUGUGGAGGAGGGUGAAUGCUGAGACCUUAAAUAAUACAUGAUAUUGCUUACACAGUGUGUCAGUCAUGAAAGAAAGGCCAUAACACUGCACAGUUGGUCAACAAUGAUUUAAAUCCUGUCACAUUCUACCAGUGAAGAAAUAUCUUAUCACAAUAUUUUAAACUUUUGAAGAAGAUAACCCAGUAUUACCACUUUAUCAUGUCUGCAGAAACACCUGGAUUGUUAGUGUUAAAAGUGACAGUCCAGUUAACUUACUAAAAUCUACUCCUCCUUGCCAAACGAAUAUUAUUGACAUGGAACGACACAAGCCUGACAAUGGUACCUGUAUGGACUCGUAAGAGAAUAGUAUUUGUCUGAAAAGUCAAAUGAUUCUGUUUGUCUCAAACCACUUCAACUGAAAACUGAAAUAUCUACUUUUCAUCAGAGUUUGUAGCAGUGUAACCUUCAUCAAAAGUUAAGCUGUUGUGUUAAUUAUUAAAGUAUUUUUAGAAAAAGGAAUUUAGUAUGUAUGUUGCCAUGGUAACAUAAUUCAAAUUAUAUUUCAUUGAAAUUAUGGAUUUGUAUUUCAAUAAGGGAUCUACAGUAUAUAAUGUAAUGGUAAAAGAAUGUUCACUUUUUUGUAUUGUCAGUUAUAACUAGCCAGUGAAAAAACAGAUUAUGAGGAAAGGGAUGACUGAAAUGUUUAUUCUUACAUUACUACUUUUGUUACAGAAAAUGGCUGUUUUAAAGUUUUUAUGUGAAAUUUUCAGAUUUCUUUCCUGAAUACUUAUACUUUCAAAUAUUUAACUUAUUAGAAAUACUUCUUUAAAAUAAGCUCUUGCUUUUAAGUAUUAUUGUAGGAAAAGGAAAUUUAAAACAUAUGUCGCCAUGGUAACACAAUUUUCCUAGAAAAUAUGGAAAAAAAUUUAAUUAGCUGUACUUUCUAGUAUUCUACUUUAAAAUAAGCAUAAACAAUAAAAAAAAUCAAUAGUAAUAUAUGUUUCAUUUACUUCAAAAUAGUUAUUUAUUACCAGCAGGUAAAAGGCAAGUUAUGAAGAAACAAUGACAGAAAUGUCUUAUUCUUAUAGUUAUUACUCAUGUUACAAACACUGUCAUAAAACAAAACAUUUUAACUUUUUAACAUGAAAUUUUGAGAUAAUAUUUUUGAAUACAUACCACUUUUUAAUAUUCAAGUUAUCUGAAACACUUUUCCAAAUUAAGCUCUGUUUUAAAGUACUAUUGUAGAAAACAGAAUCAAAUGCAUAUGUUGCCAUGGUAACAUAAUUUAAAAAUGUUUUUAUAGAAAACGUGAAGGACUUUAGCCAGCUAGGUCUUUGCACUUUAAGUGAAUAUCUAAAUAUUCUUUGUAAAAGAAGAUUCAUUUAUUUAAAAACAGUCAGUGAUUACCAAUAAGUGAAAACACAAACUGAAGAAACAACGACUGAAAUAGUUUAUUCUUGUGGUUAUUACCCGUGUUACGAAAUCUGUCAUAAAACCAAACAUUUUAUAUCUUUUCACAUAUAAUUUUCAAAUUUUACUUUCAAAUACAUAUACUUCAUUAUAUUCAACUUACAAGAAACAUUAUUUUAAAUUAAGCUUUUAUUUUUAAGUACUAUUGUAGAAAAAGCAAUUUAUUGCAUAUGUUGCCAUGGUAACGCAAUUUGAAUGAUGCUUUCAUAGAAAAUAUGAAAGAUUUAAAUUAGCUGUAUUUUUCUGUAUUUAGUAAGCAUCACAAAAAUAAAAUUUCAUAGUAAUAGAAGGUUCUUUUUUUCCAAAGUAGUCAUUUAUUAUCAGCAUGUAAAAGACAAGUUAUGAAGAAACAAUGACAAAUCUGUCUUAUUCUUAUGGUUAUUACCCAUGUUACAAAAACUGUCAUAAAACCAAACAUUCUUAAUAUUUUCAUGGGAAAUUUUUAGUUUAUUUUUGUAAAUACAUAUGCCUUAAAAUAGUUUACUUUUUAAAAUCCUUACUUCAAGCUAACAUGUUUUUUUUAAGUUUUAUCAUAGAAAAGGGAUUUUAAUAUAUUUGUUGCCAUGGUAACACAAUUUUAGAAAUAUUUUUACAGAAAUUGUUGUAGAUUUUAAUUGAUUAUCAUUUUGUGUAUUAAGAAUGGGAUCUUACUUAUAUCAUGCAAUUGUAACAAAAGAUAAAUUUAUUUCAGAAUUGUUAACCAUUACCAGUAUGUGAGAAAUAAACUAGAAAGAAAGGAUAACUGAAA